GCCGCCACUGAACACGUCACUCAGUGUGUCAGUAUAAAGUCGGCGACACUCUUCGUCUGCCAGGCUGAGACGUGCCACCAUUUGAGCUCUGUGCCAGCACGAGUGCCAAGCCGGUUACGAUCAUGGAUGGGCGGGCAGCUGCCACCUUCAUCCUCAUCUCCGUGUCGCUGCUCUCGCGGUCCGCGGCGGACGGCAGCUUAAAGCAAAGCCCUCAGACCCUCCUGGUGAACACCAAAGGGAGAAGCUGCAGGUUUUACUGCGACAUCGGCUCCCAAUUAUCAGAUGGCACCCUGAUACACUGGUACCGGCAAACGGAGGGCAAAGAGGUGGAGAGAAUCUUAUACCAGAACUCGGGGGAGUACAUCAACGACGAGGGCUUCAAGCAGCGGUUUACCGGGGGCAGGAGGGACAGGCGCAUCAUCCUGACGGUGACCGGCGCCACCCCGAAAGACGCGGGGAUCUACUACUGUGCCUACUGGGAAGACACGGCGGCACCGGAGGGCGGACCUCCGCGCAAAAACUGCGACACAGGCCAGCGCCACCUAUCUGCGACACGGGAUAGUGCCACCUAUCUGCGACACGGUGGAGCCGAUCGAUUCCCUUGAUUCUAAAAAUCUCACAUCUGCUCAGCGGCGUUCAGGACAGGAGUUUGAACUGGUGAGGGGCUUCCAGCAAACCCACCCAAAAGGCGCCGUAUAUU